GUUGACCUCGGAUCAGGUAGGAAUACCCGCUGAACUUAAGCAUAU
rnacentral:rRNA from 62 species